rnacentral:rRNA from 1 species
AUUGAACGCUAGCGGCAUGCUUAACACAUGCAAGUCGAACGGCAGCGCGGGUAGCUUGCUACCUGGCGGCGAGUGGCGGACGGGUGAGUAAUGCGUAGGAAUCUACCUUCUAGUGGGGGAUAACCCGGGGAAACUCGGGCUAAUACCGCCUAAUCUCUACGGCGCAAAGCGGGGGACCUUCGGGCCUCGUGCUAUAAGAUGAGCCUACAGCGGAUUAGCUAGUUGGUGGGGUAAAGGCCUACCAAGGCGACGAUCCGUAGCUGGUCUGAGAGGACGAUCAGCCACACUGGGACUGAGACACGGCCCAGACUCCUACGGGAGGCAGCAGUGGGGAAUAUUGGACAAUGGGGGAAACCCUGAUCCAGCAAUGCCGCGUGUGUGAAGAAGGCCUUCGGGUUGUAAAGCACUUUCAGUGGGGAAGAAAGAACCGAAAUUAAUACUUUUGUGUGUUGACGUUACCCACAGAAGAAGCACUGGCUAACCCUGUGCCAGCAGCCGCCGUAA